rnacentral:rRNA from 1 species
ACGGGAGGCAGCAGUGGGGGAUAUUGCACAAUGGGGGAAACCCUGAUGCAGCGACGCCGCGUGAGUGAUGAAGUAUUUCGGUAUGUAAAGCUCUAUCAGCAGGAAAGAUAAUGACGGUACCUGACUAAGAAGCACCGGCUAAAUACGUGCCAGCAGCCGCGGUAAUACGUAUGGUGCAAGCGUUAUCCGGAUUUACUGGGUGUAAAGGGAGCGUAGACGGCGAUGCAAGUCUGAUGUGAAAGCCCGGGGCUCAACCCCGGCACUGCAUUGGAAACUGUGUUGCUAGAGUGCAGGAGAGGUAAGUGGAAUUCCUAGUGUAGCGGUGAAAUGCGUAGAUAUUAGGAGGAACACCAGAGGCGAAGGCGGCUUACUGGACUGUAACUGACGUUGAGGCUCGAAAGCGUGGGGAGCAAACAGGAUUAGAUACCCUGGUA